GCGCCGCACAGUACCCGAGGCCCCGACCUCUCUCUCUCUCUGUGAGCCAUCUUCCCUCUCCGCCGUAGCCGCGCCCCACACCACUGACAUCGGCGAUGUCUCAGGCAGCCAUCCGUAAGGCUUCGUCCCUCUCUCUCUGUCAUGCCCCUACCGUAGGUCUCUCUCACUCUCCCUCUGUCUCGCAUCCUCUCUUCCCUCAGUAUAGACGUCGCCGCAAUCAGCCACCGCAUGGUGACCAACAACCACCGCAAGUCGCACCCCAACUCCCUUUCUAUCUCACGGUACCCCACUUUCCUCCCCUGUUUCGCACAGUGACCACGUGGAGCCUCAAACGAUUCCUCCUCUUCUCAUUGCCCGCUUAUCUCUCUUCUUUGUGUUUUGCCGCUAGCCGCCGUGCCUGGCUCCACACCAUUCUUCAUGAUUCUUACUGCGCGAUUCUCCACAAUUCUGACUGUAGGUGCCAUGAAACUCAGCUGUAUCGCCGUGCACUGACGCCUCAGUCUUUCGUCUCUGUGUUCCUCUCUUUCAGUCCCCUCUCCCUCCCUUAAAAUCUCUUAAUCUCUGUCUCUGUUGCUUCUGCCCGUGGGUUUAGAAAUUUUACCUAGAUCUCCGCCGUGCACCGCCGCGGUUGGCAGCUCCCUCGUUGUCGUCCGACCAUCCUUCACAUUCUCCUCUUUGUUCGGUCCCUUCUCCUCCCAGAUUCACCCAACCCGAGUGUAGAUCACCUUUUUGGGGUUCUGCUCCGCCGACAACCGCCACUCCCGCCGUGAAACCUCCCUCCUCCAUCCUUUAUCGCCACUGUUCUGCCACCCAUUAGAAUUUUCCCAGUCGUAGGCCCUUUAUUUCAACCAGAUCCGUCCUUGCCACUAUGCGCUGCCACUGCUGCCGCCGUGCUCCGUCCCUCCAGCGGCCACCACACAACGCAUGCACUCGCUCGCGGGAUGCUUUAGUCUGCGCUUUUGAUCCUCCAGAAAUUUGCCCUUUCGCCUUGUUCAGGAAACCAUGGCAAAAAAUGGAUUUGGGAAGGCCAUCUCUUCGAUGGUUAGCAUUUUUGCAUCUUGAAUGGAUAUGGGAUCUAUAUAUAUAUUUUCUUCCCUCUCACGAAUGUUUGGUCUGUAAUUUUUUUAACCUGAAUUUCUAUAUUUUUUAGUGACAUUUCUAUUUUCUUUUCUUUCCUUUUUCUUAGUACAGUUUUUAUUCCCAAACGAUAUUAGAUCUCUUAGAGCUCCUGCUCGAACUGUAGGGCCUAGGGUGAGAGAGGGGAAUGAAAUUAGUCAAGUUCAGUUUGGUCAGGAACUAUGGACGAUUGAAAUCCUCCUUAAACUUAAAACUAUCAUUUCUUUUAUAUUUUUCUUUUUAAACUAUCAAAAUUAAUAUAUUGCAACCCUGAAUGGGAAAACCUGACAAAUAUAUAGUACUUUGGUUUGAUUCUGGCGGUUAACAUGGAUGGUAAUUUGGUAAAUAAGUGGUGUUACAAUUUGAUGGUUGGAUCCCAAAGGAUGGUGAACAAUUCAAGAGUGUGCGAUGAAACAAGUGAAUAGUUUGUAAGGCAAGCAUUGUUCUUGUCAUUGUAUAAGUCUUAAGGCUUCAAAGGUGGUGAUAGUAUGCAAAUUUGAACUGGGGUAAAAUUAGGUCUGCAACCGACCAAACCGCCCUGUAUUUGGGCCCAAACCGCAGCCCAGACCAACAAAACCAAUUCAACCCGAUUCGUCUCAAGUUUAUGAAAACUAUCCCUUUCUUUUUCCGAGAAGUUAACCACACUGCCUCUCAUUGUGUUCCCCUUGUCAAGACCAGAUCUGGGUUUGGAUCGAUCUUCACUCUUGGCCCUCCGGUCGGCAGGACCCUUCUCUGGAACAUCACCGAGUUGGACCCGUGAACCUUCGCAACCUUUACUUUGCAAGGUAACCUCCUUUCCGGUGAAAUCCCGGACUUCGUGUUGACUUUUCCUUGAACAUUGGCUUGCUUGGCUAUUCUGCAGGUUUGCACAGGAGCAACACAAGUUAAGGUGGCGUCCAUGGCCUGGUUUCUUAUGUAAAGAAAUCAUUUUAAUUUCAGUAUUAUUGCUGCCAUGGCUGCUUUUUGGCUGGAAAUCAUCUUCUAUUCGGCCUUUUCCUCUGCUGUGACUAUAUCAAUUCCCAAACCGCAAGUUAAAACAUGCAGUCAGUUUCAGCGGGUUCAACCUGCAAGCUGCUUUCAACCACUUUUCGGACGGGUUGGGUCAGAUCUCACGGAUGGACCGGGUUAUAGAAUUUUCUGCACAGGCCUAGGUAAAAUUUUGUGAAGGAAGUUGAGUGAGUGGCAAGACACCUUGUGUAAUAUUGGCUGCACCGGAUUACAUGCUACGAUUAGAGGAUUAAAUAGUUGACUGCAUUUUGAGUAGGUUGAAUUUGAAGGCUAAUUUUGGGAAGGGAAAAGCCAAAGCGGAUGGGAGUUGUGGUUGUCUAGAUGCCGGUAUAUGCAUUACUUGAAAACUGAUUGUGGAUAUUAAAACUCGUACUGUUAUCAUCGUCACUUCAUGAGAUUUUUUGUCCUUAAAAAUUUUACAUUAGUGGCCAAUUGGUGGAUAUGUAGUGUCGUCUGUAUGGUUUUAUUGACAGGCUUAAGGCUAUUAAUAUUCGAGUGUCAUUUUCAGGCCAUUUACUUGAUGGAGCUUGAGAAGAUAUUCAGAGGUGACAUUCUUAUGGAUCGGAGUUUAAGGAGGUUGUCCUCGAGGGAAGAAUACUAUGUUUUUAUUUGGUUUUUGUGAUA